UACGUAGGUGACAAGCGUUGUCCGGAUUUACUGGGCGUAAAGAGCGCGCAGGCGGUCGAUCAAGUCGAGUGUGAAAGCCCCCGGCUCAACUGGGGAGGGUCAUUCGAUACUGAUCGACUCGAAGGCAGGAGAGGGUAGUGGAAUUUCCGGUGUAGUGGUGAAAUGCGUAGAUAUCGGGAGGAACACCAGUGGCGAAGGCGACUACCUGGCCUGUUCUUGACGCUGAGGCGCGAAAGCUAGGGGAGCAAACGGG
rnacentral:rRNA from 1 species